rnacentral:rRNA from 1 species
UACGAAGGGGGCUAGCGUUGUUCGGAGUUACUGGGCGUAAAGGGCGCGUAGGCGGCGCACCAAGUCAGGCGUGAAAGCCCUGGGCUCAACCCGGGAAUUGCGCUUGAGACUGGUGUGCUUGAGUACGGGAGAGGAUAGUGGAAUUCCCAGUGUAGAGGUGAAAUUCGUAGAUAUUCGCAAGAACACCAGUGGCGAAGGCGGCUCACUGGCCCGAUACUGACGCUGAGGCACGAAAGCGUGGGGAGCAAACAGG